AUUGAACGCUGGCGGCAGGCCUAACACAUGCAAGUCGAACGAGUGGCGGACGGGUGAGUAAUGUCUGGGUAACUGCCCGAUGGAGGGGGAUAACUACUGGAAACGGUAGCUAAUACCGCAUACUAUCGGAUGUGCCCAGAUGGGAUUAGCUAGUAGGUGGGGUAACGGCUCACCUAGGCGACGAUCCCUAGCUGGUCUGAGAGGAUGACGAGCCACACGGGGACUGAGACACGGUCCAGAAAACUACGGGAGGCAGCAGUGAGGAAUAUUGCACAAUGGGGGCAAGCCUGAUGCAGCCAUGCCGCGUGUAUGAAGAAGGCAUUCGGGUUGUAAAGUACUUUGGGGGAGGAGGCGUUAUUCGCAGAAGAAGCACCGGCUAACUCCGUGCCAGCAGCCGCGGUAAUAC
rnacentral:rRNA from 1 species